GACGAACCGUGCGAACGUUGUUCGGAAUCACUGGGCUUAAAGGGCGCGUAGGCGGGCCGCGAGGUCGGGGGUGAAAUCCUGCAGCUCAACUGCAGAAGUGCCUCCGAUACCGGCGGCCUCGAGGGGGGUAGGGGCGUGUGGAACUUCCGGUGGAGCGGUGAAAUGCGUAGAUAUCGGAAGGAACGCCGGUGGCGAAAGCGACGCGCUGGACCCUCUCUGACGCUGAGGCGCGAAAGCCAGGGGAGCAAACGGG
rnacentral:rRNA from 1 species